GGCAAGGCUGAGGGCAUCUCCGCCAUGGCCUGGGAUCUGCUCUUCCUCACCCUCCUGGCUCACUGCACAGGAACUUUGUCUCAAUUUACACUGACUCAGCCCAGCUCUAUGUCUGGGAAUCCAGGACAGAAGGUGACCAUCUCCUGCAAACGCAGCAGUGGCAACAUUGGAAGCAACUAUGUUUCCUGGUACCAGCAGUACCCAGGCAGUGCCCCCAGGAAUGUGAUCUAUGAUGAUAACAUAAGGCCCUCUGGGGUUCCUGAUCGGUUCUCUGGCUCCAUUGACAGCUCCUCUAAGGCUGCCUCCCUGACCAUUUCUGGGCUGCAGCCUGAAGAGGAGGCCGACUACUACUGCUUUACUGGUCGCACAGUGCUCCAGAUGCAGGGGAAGUGAGACUAAAACUCCCUCAGAGCUCUCCUGUCCUGGAACAACCCUCCAUGCAUACCCCUAAGGGAAGCUUGCUCUGUGUUCUGCUUGGAUUCUUCAGUUGGAAGGUUUUUUGUUUUUACUACUUCUUCUUUUUCUUCGCUUCUCUUUUCUAAUUUUCUCUUCUUUUUUAAAAUUCUAUUUUUUAUUUGUGGUUACAAGGUUGUA